rnacentral:pre_miRNA from 1 species
GCUACAUUUAGACCUUCGAUUCACCGAGCAAUAGUACCCGCUCGGUGGAAGAUCUUCCCUAUGUCGU